AGCAUAUCAAUAAGCGGAGGAAAAGAAACCAACAGGGAUUGCCCCAGUAACGGCGAGUGAAGCGGCAAGAGCUCAAAUUUGAAAGCUGGCCCCCUCGGGGUCCGCAUUGUAAUUUGCAGAGGAUGCUUCGGGAGUGGCCCCCAUCUAAGUGCUCUGGAACGGGCCGUCAUAGAGGGUGAGAAUCCCGUAUGGGAUGGGGUGUCCGCGACCAUGUGAAGCUCCUUCAACGAGUCGAGUUGUUUGGGAAUGCAGCUCUAAAUGGGUGGUAAAUUUCAUCUAAAGCUAAAUAUUGGCCGGAGACCGAUAGCGCACAAGUAGAGUGAUCGAAAGAUGAAAAGCACUUUGAAAAGAGAGUUAAAAAGCACGUGAAAUUGUUGAAAGGGAAGCGCUUGCGACCAGACUCGCCUGCGGGGUUCAGCCGGUAUUCGUACCGGUGUACUUCCCCGUGGGCGGGCCAGCGUCGGUUUGGGCGGCCGGUCAAAGGCCCUCGGAAUGUAACGCCUCUCGGGGCGUCUUAUAGCCGAGGGUGCCAUGCGGCCAGCCCGGACCGAGGAACGCGCUUCGGCACGGACGCUGGCAUAAUGGUCGUAAGCGACCCGU
rnacentral:rRNA from 1 species